AACAAGAAUCCCAUUACACUCCCGCGAGGCCGGUCUCUUGCGCCAACCAAAAGAAACAAAAUGGCCGACGGUCGCGAGGAAGUCAUUCUGGCGUUUGUGCCCAGCCGACCAAACAGAAGCCUUAAAGGUGACCCAUCACAUUGAAGUUAUGUUACAGCCAGUCCACCACCUUCCAAUGGCCACCCCACCUCACCAAUGGUGAUGUCGAUUUCUGAACGUAGUGGUGCCCGCCUGACCUAAAUGGAUCCGGAUUGGCUCCUCUUACAUUUUUUUCUGCCCCAAUAUUUAAACCUGAAGCACUUUGUGGGCGUUGAACGAUCUCCUUUUGAUUGGGGUGAACUUUAGGCACAUGCCUGGACAAGCCUGACAAACUGAACAUGGGGUAAUGUACUGUUGGGUCAUGGAUACGAGUGGAUACUCAACCACAGCUGCCUUUGUGGGCCUAUUCCCCAGACCGUCUUUGGAUACACCAAUCAGAGGAGAAGUUGAAAUGGACUACUGUGCACUAGUGUGUCUCUAUCCUCCUAUAACUAACUGACUGGAUACGUGGACAGAAAUGGAGGGUGUGAGAUGUGUGUGUUCUGUGUUGUGAUGGUACACUGUCUUCUCUGAGACGGCUCUACACACAGCUGUGUCUGUCACAUCUGAAAUACAUUCGACACGGGUCAGCAUGCUGAUCUGUUCAUGUGUGCUGUGCUUGUUUGUGUAUGUGUGCUGGUUUGUCUAAGUACAUACACUUUGAGUCACCCUCACUCAGCGCAAGUUCUGUUCUGGGAUUGUAAGCAACACACACACACACGCACGCAUGCGCGCACGCACACACACGCACAUGCACACACACACACAAAUCACAUCACAUCACAAAUCACAUCACAUCACAAAUCACAUCACAAAUCAUAGUAAAUGUAUUUUAACCUCCUUAUGGUUAACGGACAUAGGAUUUAUCAUGUGCUUAUGCUACCUGGCAAAAAUAACAUUUGACACUGGAGGAGGUUGUAUGGUUUAGUAGUAGAAUCGCACUGCACCACUGAUUUUAUUAUCAAGGGAAGGUUACAACUGGCAAAUAAGUAUUUUAUUGGACAGCCCACAUAGUAUUCAGAUGAUGUAUGUAUAGAUAGAACACGUACAAUGAAUUAAAGUAGAAACAUAGAAAUGUGCUAAUUGAUUGAUUUAAACAAUUGUAGUAUAAAAAUCAGAGUAGAACGAUUACUUAUGUGUUAUAUAGUUUACGUAAUGGAUAUGAAUACUAGUUUAGUUAGAAUUAUUUUCAAAGUGUGAAAAUGUGUUUUAUUUUGUGUAUAUUAUUUCUAUGCAUCUUUUGAAACCUAUGCAAAUGAAUCCACAAAGUAGAUAUUUUAUCAUUUGCUAAUGACGAUCAUUCAAAUUCUCAGAGGGUUUCUCUCAGAUGUGAGAGAUUAGAAAUGAACCCUGGUCCAGACAGUAAAAUAUGUUGGGAUUUUACAGCGUUUUUCUCAACUGAUUUGGAUUUCUAUAUAUUUUUUACAAGUGUAUCAAUAUCAAAAUAUGAACAUUGUAAUGUUUUCAUUUGCUUGACCGUACGGGGACAUCUAUAGACCUUCAACGAAUGGAUUGACUAGAAAGUUGAAUAUACAGUUUUCCAAACAAUUAUUUGGGGAUUUCAUGUGAACAUUUUUACUCUAUGCAACUUUUAUAUUUGAACUUUUUUUGUAAUAAAUAAUAUGACUAUCAUUCGGA